rnacentral:ribozyme from 13 species
UUUUUUUUUUUUUUUUUUUUUUUUUUUUUUUUUUUUUUUAAAAUUUCAGUGAUUUCAUUAGUAAGAUGACAAGGGAAAGAAUAAGUUGUCGGAUU